rnacentral:rRNA from 1 species
CAUUUUAGUUUGCUUGCAACUGAAGAUGGCGACCGGCGCACGGGUGAGUAACACGUAUCCAAUCUGCCGAUAACUCCGGGAUAGCCUUUCGAAAGAAAGAUUAAUACCGGAUAGCAUACGAAUAUCGCAUGAUAUUUUUAUUAAAGAAUUUCGGUUAUCGAUGGGGAUGCGUUCCAUUAGUUUGUUGGCGGGGUAACGGCCCACCAAGACAACGAUGGAUAGGGGUUCUGAGAGGAAGGUCCCCCACAUUGGAACUGAGACACGGUCCAAACUCCUACGGGAGGCAGCAGUGAGGAAUAUUGGUCAAUGGGCGAGAGCCUGAACCAGCCAAGUAGCGUGAAGGAUGAAGGCUCUAUGGGUCGUAAACUUCUUUUAUAUGGGAAUAAAGUAUUCCACGUGUGGAAUUUUGUAUGUACCAUAUGAAUAAGGAUCGGCUAACUCCGUGCCAGCAGCCGCGGUAAUACGGAGGAUCCGAGCGUUAUCCGGAUUUAUUGGGUUUAAAGGGAGCGUAGGUGGAUUGUUAAGUCAGUUGUGAAAGUUUGCGGCUCAACCGUAAAAUUGCAGUUGAAACUGGCAGUCUUGAGUACAGUAGAGGUGGGCGGAAUUCGUGGUGUAGCGGUGAAAUGCUUAGAUAUCACGAAGAACUCCGAUUG